UGGGGAAUAUUGCACAAUGGGCGCAAGACUGAUGCAGCCAUGCCGCGUGUAUGAAGAAGGCCUUCGGGUUGUAAAGUACUUUCAGUCGGGAGGAAGGUGGUAAGGUUAAUAACCUUAUCAAUUGACGUUACCGACAGAAGAAGCACCGGCUAACUCCGUGCCAGCAGCCGCGGUAAUACGGAGGGUGCAAGCGUUAAUCGGAAUUACUGGGCGUAAAGCGCACGCAGGCGGUUGAUUGAGUCAGAUGUGAAAUCCCCGGGCUUAACCCGGGAAUUGCAUCUGAUACUGGUCAGCUAGAGUCUUGUAGAGGGGGGUAGAAUUCCAUGUGUAGCGGUGAAAUGCGUAGAGAUGUGGAGGAAUACCGGUGGCGAAGGCGGCCCCCUGGACAAAGACUGACGCUCAGGUGCGAAAGCGUGGGGAGCAAACAGG
rnacentral:rRNA from 1 species